rnacentral:rRNA from 1 species
AAUUUAAGCAUAUCAUUAAGCGGAGGAAAAGAAACUAAAAAGGAUUCCCCCAGUAACGGCGAGCGAAAAGGGAAGAGCUCAGCACUGAACCCUCUGCUCUAUAUGGGCAGCUGGGAAUGUGGUGUUUGGGAGGCUCAUUUCCCCGCAGUUGGUAGUACAGCCCCAAGUCCGUCUUGGUGGUAGUAGCAAAUACUCAAGUGAGAUCCUUGAGGACUGACGUGGAGAAGGGUUUCAUGUGAACAGCAAUUGCACAUGGGUGAGUCGUUCCUAAGCCAAAGGCGAAAGCCACGCUCAUAAACUUGUGGCCACAUGAAUUGUUAAGUGCCAGAAGCAGUCGGUAUGCUCCGUCUCUGAUCACAGUCAUUCAACGGUUGUCACGGUGCAGGUGUCUGCUCGUCAACUGCCAUAAUGGCGCAGAGUUUGGGUGGUGGGCUAGUGGAAGCACGUUUUUCGAGUGAGCCUGCAAGGAGUUUGGCGAAAGGGAAUCCGGUACUCAUUCCGGAACCUGGAUAUGAGGAGUAGUGUUGCUUUAUGCAUCACAUAGCCGCAAGGCGUUACCAUCCUGGAGAAUCCAA